rnacentral:rRNA from 1 species
AUGAACCUCCUUCGGGAGGGGAUUAGUGGCGAACGGGUGAGUAACACGUGGGCAAUCUGCCCUGCACUCUGGGACAAGCCCUGGAAACGGGGUCUAAUACCGGAUACUGAUCAUCUUGGGCAUCCUUGGUGAUCGAAAGCUCCGGCGGUGCAGGAUGAGCCCGCGGCCUAUCAGCUUGUUGGUGAGGUAAUGGCUCACCAAGGCGACGACGGGUAGCCGGCCUGAGAGGGCGACCGGCCACACUGGGACUGAGACACGGCCCAGACUCCUACGGGAGGCAGCAGUGGGGAAUAUUGCACAAUGGGCGAAAGCCUGAUGCAGCGACGCCGCGUGAGGGAUGACGGCCUUCGGGUUGUAAACCUCUUUCAGCAGGGAAGAAGCGAAAGUGACGGUACCUGCAGAAGAAGCGCCGGCUAACUACGUGCCAGCAGCCGCGGUAAUACGUAGGGCGCGAGCGUUGUCCGGAAUUAUUGGGCGUAAAGAGCUCGUAGGCGGCUUGUCGCGUCGGUUGUGAAAGCCCGGGGCUUAACCCCGGGUCUGCAGUCGAUACGGGCAGGCUAGAGUUCGGUAGGGGAGAUCGGAAUUCCUGGUGUAGCGGUGAAAUGCGCAGAUAUCAGGAGGAACACCGGUGGCGAAGGCGGAUCUCUGGGCCGAUACUGACGCUGAGAGCGAAAGCGUGGGGAGCGACAGGAUUAGAUAC